CCAUGGUUACGGAGAGAUGAUUGUAUUUUCAUUAUCUCUUUACACUAGAACGUAUGCUCCAUGAUGGCAGGGAUUUCUGACUGCUUUCUUCACAGCUGUCCCCAGUGCCUAAAAAACCGACUACAGAUAGAUGCUUUCAAAACUGUUGGAUGAAUGAUACUGAAAUAUUACAAGGCAAAAUACAUUAUUACCUGAAUACAUUAAAUAUUAUGAGAAGCAGAAAUCCCAAUCACCCACACUCACACAGUUUUGCAAAAAGAGACAUCAUAGUUUGUUUCUUAAAAAUGCAUUAAAGUCUAAUUGAUGGUUUUGUUAACAUCAUUCUCUCUGUGCCUAAAGAGUCCUAGGUCACACCUAAAAGGUACAGUUUUAGCUUCAGUAGGCAAACGGAAAAGAAAAAUACAGGCUUUUUUCCUUUCAUUAGUCAUCACUGACAGAAGGCCUCCAAGUGACCCUGGUGCCACAAAUGUUUAGGAUCUUUAGGGAAGAAAGGAGUCUAGAAAAAUAACAAUAUUCCUUCACCAAUCUCGAGAAGAAUCUCUCCAAAUCUCUCUGCAGACAUUUUUUCUUCAUAUCCUUUAACAAAGCCAUUCUUAACAUGUACAUGAAAUCUUAGUUGAAGAAACAAUGUGAUUACAUAAUUACACAUACGGAAAAACUUGGUAUUCUAUUAUCUCUCCAAAUUUUUUUUUAACUAAAACUAGACUUACAGUUUUUGUUGAAAAUGUUUUGUGUUUCUACCUCCGAAGAAUAUGAAAAAAAGAAAAUGUUUUGCUCUGAAGCUGAGUUAAGAAGAAGAUAGCCAAGACGUGGGUUGAUGGGGACUGUAUUUUAAGGCUGAACAGUUUUGUUUACUAUUGUUUAUUAUUUAAUAUAUUCUUCCCAGUCUCCCCACCCCCACCAAAGGAAAAGCGAAAAAUUUACGUUAGUGCAAUCAAUAAGGAAUUAUUUGUCCAAAGGAAGUUGUUCUGAAAGGCUAUGACCUAAGUCUUUAACACAAAGUUCAGGCGGUAGAUGUCACUUCUCUCACCCAUUUAACAACAACAACAAAUCAAGAUUCAGAUCCCGCGGAGGCAAGCAGAAAGGAACAGGCGUGAAAAAUGAAAUCAGUUGUUUCUCCCCGGCCUCCUCUCGACACUGCGCACUCCGCUGCCCUGCCCCCGCCCAUCGCCCUUUAGCGGCCCCUUUUAACGGCGUCGUUUGCCCAGCACAGCCCCGCACUGCGCCAUCAAAUGAGUCAAGCGGAAGGACCGGUACCCCUCCGGGAAAACCAGGCACUAACACACGGUGCACCCAACUGAAUUUAAACUCGGGAACAGUGUAGGCAGUGUCAACAAAGCGCGGUGCUGGGUCCCGAGCGUCCAAAGGUCCCUGCCAGCUCCCAGACGCGGCCAAAUCCACAGGAUUCCAAAAGUACAGACGGGGUUUCACCGUAUUAGCCAGGAUGGUCUCAAUCUUCUAACCUCGUGAUCUGCCCACCUCGGCCUCGCAAAGCGCUGGGAUUACAGGCGUGAGCCUCCGCGACCGGCCAGAACUAGCUCUUCUUAAGGAUGUGACAGUGAUCUGCACUAGAGCUUCAGGCAGCUAAGGAUAUCUGAAAAGGAGAGACUCUAUGGAGUGUGGAUGUAGAAAAGGAGUUAUUCCUACCGGAAAAAAAUGAACUGUGGACACAGUCACUCAAGACCAGAGAAACAACCACUAUGAGAACUAUUGGGACAUUGCUCAAGCAAGGAACCACCUGGCUCCCUGAGGAGGCUCACUGCAUGCUUUCGUGAAAGGACCCUGUCCCAGCAAUCGAUGUCCACUAUCAGCAGGAAGAAGUUACAGAAGAAUGACCUUCACCCUCCUCUCCUCUUAAAAUUAAGGGCUCUCUUAGCUGGGCAUAGUGGCGCAUGCUUGUAAUCCCAGAUACUUGGGAGGAUGAGGCACGAGAAUCACUUGAGCCCGGGAAGCAGAGGCUGCAGUGAGCCAAGAUCGCACCACCACACUCUAGCCUGGGUGGCAGAGCGAGACCCUGUCUCAAAAAAACAAAACAAAACAAAAAGAUUAAGGGUUCCCUCAAAAUUAGUGGGGGUAAUGUUAGGGAACCAGGAGCCUAGGAGGGCCAGAGUAGCACCAUUUUAAGUUCAGCUCCAUCUUGAGAAAUAGUAAAGCCCAUUCUCUGCUGGUCACGACCCACAUUCAUGGGCUGUUUACAGUGGAAGAAACAGCCUAAAGAUACCUACAAGGACACACUCCUACUACAGCCAAGAGUCCAGAUGUCCAAUACCCAUAACAAUCUCUGUUUUCAAGAUAAUAAUAGUUUUGCUUUGAUGUAUCCACACACUAGAAUGUCAAGGCCAGUUUUCUUUAAAUCAGUAGUCAUACAUUCUGUCAUGCUGUCUGCUCACCCACACGUGGACACAGCUUAGCUUAGCCUUUAUAUAGACAAGAUCUCUAGAGAAGAAAAACAAAAAACAAAGUCGAGGCGUUCCUCCUCUUGCUUUCUGAGGAUGCCCUACUCUAACAGUGUAGUUUCUAAUAACGUUGCUUCUUUCACUGCACUCUGUGACUCGUUUUGAAGUCCCUCCUGCUCGAGAUCCAAGAACGUUCUCUUGGGGUCUGGAUAGAGAUCCCUUUUCCGGUAACACGAUCAUUGAAGGUAUAGAGGUCCCGGACUGCUGGGAAUAUUUUAUAUUUCCUUUUGAAGACUCUCCAUCCUGCCCUUAUUUCUUAAAGCUGAGUUAAUUCCAUUGCACAUAAUUUAUUUCUCCCUCCUGUAUACAUAUCUUCCUUUUGUCCUCUUCUGUCGCUUUUAAUACCGUGUGGAGGUGCAAAACCCCUUCUAGUAAUGGCUGGGGAAAAAAAGUCAUGUAAGUCCCAGGGUGAAAUAAGACUUUCUAAAAAAAAUACUUGAGUCUCAACCUCUAAAACCUUUCAAGUACCCCGAUAUUUCUUUUCAUCUUGUCACAAAUUUUUAUAUUCCUCUUCAUCCUGUUAAAAUCUCCCCUGUUUUUCUUAAAUUACCACCUUUCAAGGUAAAUAAAACGCUGCUGGUUCUCUUUUUAUCAGUGUGCCAUUUAAUUUUCGGUUAUUACAAUAGAAUGGUCU
rnacentral:lncRNA from 10 species